AUUGAACGCUGGCGGCAGGCUUAACACAUGCAAGUCGAGCGGGGUGAUGGUGCUUGCACUAUCACUUAGCGGCGGACGGGUGAGUAAUGCUUAGGAAUCUGCCUAUUAGUGGGGGACAACAUCUCGAAAGGGAUGCUAAUACCGCAUACGUCCUACGGGAGAAAGCAGGGGAUCACUUGUGACCUUGCGCUAAUAGAUGAGCCUAAGCCGGAUUAGCUAGUUGGUGGGGUAAAGGCCUACCAAGGCGACGAUCUGUAGCGGGUCUGAGAGGAUGAUCCGCCACACUGGGACUGAGACACGGCCCAGACUCCUACGGGAGGCAGCAGUGGGGAAUAUUGGACAAUGGGGGGAACCCUGAUCCAGCCAUGCCGCGUGUGUGAAGAAGGCCUUAUGGUUGCAAAGCACUUUAAGCGAGGAGGAGGCUCUUUUGGUUAAUACCCAAGAUGAGUGGACGUUACUCGCAGAAUAAGCACCGGCUAACUCUGUGCCAGCAGCCGCAGUAA
rnacentral:rRNA from 1 species